AGAGUUUGAUCCUGGCUCAGGACGAACGCUGGCGGCGUGCUUAACACAUGCAAGUCGAACGGUAAGGCCCUUCGGGGUACACGAGUGGCGAACGGGUGAGUAACACGUGGGUAAUCUGCCCUGCACAUCGGGAUAAGCCCUGGGAAACNUGGGUCUAAUACCGAAUAGGACCACAGAACACAUGUCCUGUGGUGGAAAGCUUUUGCGGUGUGGGAUGGGCCCGCGGCCUAUCAGCUUGUUGGUGGGGUGAUGGCCCACCAAGGCGACACGGGUAGCCGGCCUGAGAGGGUGUCCGGCCAC
rnacentral:rRNA from 1 species